rnacentral:rRNA from 1 species
GGACCCGCACAAGCAGCGGAGCAUGUGGUUUAAUUCGAAGCAACGCGAAGAACCUUACCAAGACUUGACAUCGUCUGAUUGACGCAGAAAUGCGUAGUCCCUUCGGGGCAGGCAGACAGGUGGUGCAUGGUUGUCGUCAGCUCGUGUCGUGAGAUGUUGGGUUAAGUCCCGCAACGAGCGCAACCCUUAUCAAUAGUUGCCAAUAUUAAGUUAGGAACUCUAUUGAGACUGCCGUGGAUAACACGGAGGAAGGUGGGGAUGAUGUCAAAUCAUCAUGCCCCUUACGUCUUGGGCUACACACGUGCUACAAUGGCUAUUACAAAGGGCAGCGAAACCGUGAGGUGGAGCAAAUCCCAUAAAGAUAGUCUCAGUUCGGACUGUGGGCUGCAACCCGCCCACACGAAGUCGGAGUUGCUAGUAAUCCCGAAUCAGAAUGUCGGGGUGAAUGCGUUCCCGGGUCUU